AUAGAUCCUGCCUUUACAUCUCAAAUUUUUACAAUACAAUCAGAUUGUCAGCAAUCAUUUAACGUCAACCUUUCAGGAUAACCCGAUUCGCUUCUCCGAGGACCUAUUCAAGCAAGUGCAAAACAAAAGAGGACGCUCUACAGAAAGUAUUUAUUUAUUUCAACCUUUGCACAAUGUAUUAGGCAUGCGGUUUAUAUGUAAUGACAUCCAUUUUGAUGCAAUAGCUUCAACAGCACCAAGCAGUGUGGCCAUAAUUACACUGACCAAGUCAGCAGCCUAUUGGUCCAUGUAAGGAUGCAUAAAGAUCACAUCCAUGAUG